CCUAAUUAACUUGCUUAUAGUGGCAUAGCUAAGAGGGGAGAGAAUGGAGGCUUUCUUUGAAAAAAUAUUGGAGAGCCUACAGAAUUUAGGAGCUGAAAAUACAUCAUAGUUUAAAAAGAGAAAAUUCCAGAAAGAGAGAUGGCUAAAGUUUGUUCACUAUUCCAUUGAAAUUUUUUCCUUCUUUUUUCAUCUCCUUUGAUUUCUAAUUGUUUUCUACUGAAAAUACUUUUUCCUUCAUUUGGGGUUUCAAAAAUUAGUUGAACUUGGUUUUGAGAUCAAUCUUGAAGUCAAUUUGAUCGCUGUUUUUCGAAUGAGGGUGAUCUUGGGGUCUGAACAUCAUUUCCUGGGUCUUGAAGCGAUUUCUAGUUCUGUUUCUUGCUGCUCUUACUUUCAGUUGCCGAAUCUUCAUUAUUUGCUCUCAUUAUUACAUGUACAAAUUCUGAAUCCUUCAAGAUGUAAAGUCUAAUUUGAAGAUGAAAUGAAAGCACCAUGAU
rnacentral:lncRNA from 1 species